AUUUCUUUAUUAAUUUUUUAUAUAUAAUUUAUAUUAAAUAUAAAAAUAUAUUUUUUAAAUAAAAAGACGAUAAGACCCUAUUAAAUUUUACUUAUAGUUUAACUGGGGAAGUUUUAAAAAUAAAAUUUUUUAUAAAAAUAAAAAUAAAUCUAAUAAAAUUAAAAUUAAAUUAAAUUACUAUAGGGAUAACAGCAUUAUAUUUUUUAAAAGUUCAUAUUAAAAAAAAUGAUUGUGACCUCGAUGUUGAAUUAUAUUUUCUUUAUUAAUGCAAUAAUUAUAAAAGUAGAUCUGUUCGAUCUUUAAAAUAUUACAUGAUUUGAGUUCAAACCGGUGUAAACCAGGUUGGUUUCUAUCUUUUUAUAAAUUCAUAUAUAUAUAUAUAUAUAUAAAUUUUUCAAGUACGAAAGGAAAAAAAAAUUUUUAUUUUAAUUAAUUAGCAAUUAAUAUGCAUUAGAUUUAGAAUCUAAAUAAACUAUUAUU
rnacentral:misc_RNA from 1 species